AGUCACUGGGACCACACUAAACCCAGAGGCGCAGUGAAAGCGUGGCGUGAACCCUCGUGGUCUCGCCUUGGGAGGAUGACGUUGCCUCGGCGGCGUCCGCACUCCCGGGGCGUCUCGGCCUCGGCCGCAGGCGCACCCCGAGCGUACACGUUGGGACCCGAAAGAUGGUGAACUAUGCCUGGUCAGGACGAAGUCAGGGGAAACCCUGAUGGAGGUCCGCAGCGAUUCUGACGUGCAAAUCGAUCGUCAGAGCUGGGUAUAGGGGCGAAAGACUAAUCGAACCAUCUAGUAGCUGGUUCCCUCCGAAGUUUCCCUCAGGAUAGCUGGCGCCCAUUUGGACUGGGACGAGUCUCAUCCGGUAAAGCGAAUGAUUAGAGGCCUUGGGGCCGAAACGACCUCAACCUAUUCUCAAACUUUAAAUGGGUGAGACCUGCGGCUUGCUUGACUGAAGCCGCGAGUUCACUGGAUCAGGGUGCCAAGUGGGCCAUUUUUGGUAAGCAGAACUGGCGCUGUGGGAUGAA
rnacentral:rRNA from 1 species